rnacentral:lncRNA from 1 species
GAACUCCCUACAAUGAUUGUUUAACUUAUUCUGUUCAAAUAAACAGCAUUUAUUUCAAGACAGAUGUAUGUUUUCUGUUUCCUUACCGUCAGUCCAACCACCUUGUUCCUCAUCUACCUGUUUUAUCUUGUUCAGGCCAAGGAAGCCCUUGCCAUUAAUCACCACUGAGUCUGAUGAUAAUUAAUCAAAAUAUGAAGUUUAAUUUUGUUAAAGGUGAUCUCUGUAUUUCCUUUCAGUUUUUCACUUUAUACAAAUAUAUAGGGAUAUUAUGAAGAAAAAAAAAUUAAGAAACAGUGGGAAUGUGUGUUUUUUAAGUGCAGGUCUGUGAAGUAAGUGACUCUUGGCUCAGUGGAACUGCAGUAUCUCCAUCAGGAAAACAGAGAGUUUGAACAGAUCUGUAGUCUUUGACUGUGCUGUCUAGAAUCAUGAUGUACACCUUCAGGGCCCCCUGACCAGGUGUACAGGCUGAAAGGUGCACAGCAGUAUCACUGUACCUUAAAGAUACUGUGCAUACUGAGAAAAUAUUGGCAGAUGAUAAUAUAAGGUGAUUUUAAUAACAAAAUCAGUCUGUUACACCAGUUUCCAACUGAUAGAAUAGUCAUCUUGAAGAAGACUAUAUCUUUCUCAGAUAGAUACAAAGGCUCCAUGUGGACCAACAGAAUCCUGCUCAACAUCAGAAAAUGGAGUGAGGGACUCAUCAACUAUUUAUACCAGAUUCUCUCUGCUGUUACCUUUGUGUGUAUAGAGGGUCCUGAUAAGACUAUAUUGGAAUGAAUAUAUGGUUAUGCUGACACAAAAUCAAGAGAGAGAGAGAGAGAGAGACAAAGAAACCUUUUGAGGAGUCCUAGACUGGGUAAUCUUCAAUGCCAUUUCUGGUUCUAAAAUUCUUUGACUUAUGACUUAAUAAAUAAAUUUACAUGUAAGAAUUAUUUUUCAAGCUGUCAACAUUUUAGUCUAACAAGUAGGGUGAAUUAUUAUUAGAGAAUAUUCCCUCCCCUGGGCAAUCUCAAACAUGACCUAAGUUAUUUUAAAAGAAGUUGUAAUAGGAUAGUAGAGACACAAUAAGAUUUUGGGUUUCUUAAAAAAGUAUGAGCUUCAUAUAUAUAGGAAUGCUUCUUUUUAAUAUAUUCACAUUGAUAGUAAAUAUAGCCCACUAUGAUGGAAUGGUAUGUUUUUAUUGUGUUCUACAUGUAAGUAAGUUUCAAGUGACAGCCUAUAAAUGCAUUAGCUUGAUACUCUUGAUACUAAAUCAGUUUUGAAUUAAAAUUGUUCUAUUUCAUAGUUAACAGAAAUGCAUUUGUUGCUGUACUUUUGUUCCCAAAAAAGUUUUUCUAAGCAGAAUUAUUUCUGUUUUUCAAACAAUAUGGGGAAGUAGAUUAAAACACUUUUUGUAAAAUGGCAUCUAAAGGUGUCCCUAAUUUUGCUUGGAGUUAGGUUUUAUAAACAGUAAAAAUACUGCCACACAUUUCUAAAACAAUUAUGACUUUGUUAAAAUACAUUAGAAAGAAUUUCAGUACAACAGGCAAUGACAAAAUAACAAGUAGUGUUUUUGAAGGACCGGAAAACACUUAAUCUGGAUGAUGAGAUUCUGAACUGAUGUAACAUUUCUGUCAUAUAUUUGGUGAUAUUAAGCCACUUAAAUGCCUACUUAUGAAAUUUCAUCAUCAAGAAAUAUUUGGAGAUAGGAAGAAAUAUGUACAUGAAAAAAUAUUUAUUAGGAAGAAAAACAAUUUAACAUUAGAUGAACAGGUAAAUAAUAUCUGGAAUAUGUGGAAAUAUACUUUACAGUCAUUAAAAUAUUAUUCAAAGAAUCUUUACACAUGUAAAACACCCAUUUUAAGUAAAACAUUAGAUUAUAAUAUAUAUUUUUAUAUGACCAUGCUUUUGUUUAAAUUCCACACUUAUUGGUGAAAAUGAGAAAAAAAAUAUAUUCACCAAAAUAUUUUCAGUAGUCAAAUACAUGAUACUAUUACAGAUUAUUAUUUCCUCCUUCAUGAUUUUCUUUACUUUUUGAUAUGUAACAUUACAUAUAUAUUUACAUUAAGAAAAUGAUAUAAAUAUGAAUUAAAAAUUGAGAUUCUACAUUAAAAAGUCCUUGGAAAAAUUCUGGAUAUUAUAAACUGAAUGCCCAUGUUCCCUACAAAUUCAUAUGUUGAAGACCAAACAUGUGGUGGUAUUAGGAGGCAGGACCUUUGACAGAUAACAGAGGUUUAGAUGAGAUAUGAGAGUAGAAUCCUCCUGAUGGGAUUAGUGCCCUUACAAGGAGAGGAAGAAACAUCAGAACUCUCCCAGCCAUGUUAGGAUACAGCAAGGUCGUCAACUGCUGGCCAGGAAGAAAGCCCUCAAAACUCAGCUGGGUGGCACCCUGAUUUUGGAUCUCUUAGCCUCCAGAAUUGUAAAAAGUAAAUGUCUAUUGUUUAAACUACCCAAUCUAUGGUAUUUUUUAAUACAUACCAAGUUGACUAAGACAUUGGGUUUCUAUUAUCUCCAAAGCAUUAUUAUUUAAAAGACUUACUAUCAUUUAUGUAUGCCAAGGUGGAAUUUUCACUUCUAAAGCUAGAUAUGCUGUGCAUCUUUCCAUUGAUGCAUCUGCUACUCACUACCAGAUAGAUGUGCAUUUUAUGGGUCAGAGUAUGGGAACCAAUGAAUUAGAGUAUCCCCUGGCCAUGAGAAAAGAACAGGGCACAUGUUUAAAUUGACAAGACAGUUGCAUUUCUCCCCUUUUUAUCCCUUGUCUUCUUCCUCUUCAUUUUCCUCUUUGGUUUUCUUCUUAAACUUAGAUAGUGAAUUAGCAUGAGAUUGCAUUGAUAUAGAUAACUUCUCUUUUAUCCAUUUGUUUAACUCUCUUUAACUCAUUCUGAAUCUUCAUGGGAAUUUUUGGAACCCGAAGGUAUAAUCUUGGUUCUAUGAGCUCUUAUUGCUUUUGUCCCACUAGGCACUGCUAUUUAAUCAUCAGGGCGUUGCAGCAUCAACCCAGUGCAGUCUUCUGCCAUUGCCCUGAGAGGUAUGGUGGUAUGUCGGUCUGGGUAAUAUAUGCUUACAUCCCUCCCUGGGGAUACGAAGCCCAAUACUCCAUUAGGCUCCACAUCUCCCAUCUUAGGUUAUAGCCUCUAUUGGAAAAGGGGAAAUUUAGCCCAUCCCUCAUCAGUUCUUUUGCCUGCUUUAAUCAGUAAAUUGACCCAUGCCAGAUUAAAAGGAGGAAAAACAGAACAAAAUGGUUUAGUUUACAUACCUGGAAGUCUCAUAGAAAUGAAACCUAAGUAUCCUGUUUAUAUAUCAUUUUUAGAUAAAGAGACAGUUAUUUGUGAAGAUUUACCAAAGGGGCCUGUGCUUAGGAUUGCAAAAUUAUGAAUAAAUAAAAAAAGUUUGUUUAUAUGGCUUUCUUAGCCUUAAAUUACCCUUUCCUGGCUUCCUUGAAGCAUCUUGUAACCCUCAUAAAAUGGUUUUCUCUCUUAUUUAAGAUGAAUCCUAUUACCUAUAGUCAAAGUGUCCUACCUAAUAUAGGGAUUGAAAUUAAUUCUUAAAGCAUGGUCGCUGGAUUCCAUAAAGCUAUUCUCUAGAAAGGUAAGGGAAUUCUUAGUACAAAGAUUAGCCUAUAUCCAGACAAGUGAAAGUAGAAGGAACUGAAGGUUGUUGAAAUUUAGUAGCUGAGAAAGGCUUAGAAGAUAAUAGGGUCCUUGAAAUUUAAGAAGUUUCCCUAAGUGAAGAUGAUCAUGUAGGUGAUUCCAGGAAUGGGAAAUAUCAUAAACAGAAGCAUGGAGUUUAAGCAGAGUAAAAAGAGGAAGAAGCACUGUUUAACUGGAAUGUAUAUAUGGAUCAUGAGAGAUAAACUUACAUGUUUUGUGAGGUUCAAAGGAAGGCUUCAGAAUCUGGCAUUAGAUGUGAAGCCAUGGGUCUUGUUGGAUAUAAUACAUUUUUACCAUACUUAUUUUUAAGCAGACAAUGAUGUAAUGUUACAUGCUUUUAGGAAGAUGAGUCUGGUAAGAAAGUACAAUAUUGAUUAAAAAGCCUAGAGCCCAGAUGGAAGAGAUGGAUUAGAAGGCUAUAUCAGUUAAGAGACAUUCAGUUAUAGGUCUCAAAAAAACAGAAAACAAAAACAACUAACUUUACUGGUUUAAAAGAGGAGAGAGAGAGAGAGAGAACCAACUGAAUGAAUCAGGUCUCAUAAUUAAAACAGCCAUAGGUAGAGCUGAAUUUAGAAAAUGACAACUUUUAGGGAUCAAGUGAUGUCAUUGGGGCUGUUUUCUCUGGCAUCUGUUCAGUUUGUGCUGGCCUAACUCUACAGCUCCACAUUGUCAAGUCUGCCAGUUCCAGAUUCUCCUCUCCAGAUGUAAAGAUGUCUAAAGGAGCUCCAGUGUCAAUUUCUCUGAAGUUCAUGUCUAGUAGCAAAGACUGAACACCUUUCUAGACUCAUCCCCAAAUACUUAUCUUCAUUCUCAUUAGCCAGCAUAGGUCAUGGACUCAUUCCUGGACAUCUUUUGUGGUCAGGAGGAUACAGUGCUUUGAUUGGCUGUAUCUGGUUCAUGUAUUGACCCACAUAGCAGAGAAAGAUAGAAUAUUUAACUUUGAUUUGUUGCUCAGUGCUAGUUAAUUUAUCCUGAGGCCACUUUUCAUCAACAAUUUCAUGUUUUAUGAUGAGGGAAGUAUUGCUAUUUGUAAGAUGGAAAUAAUUCAGGGAGCUUUCAGUCACAAAAAUAUAUUUAAAAGAUACAAUUUCAGAUUUAAGAUUUUUAGUAUAGUUUUACUUUAUUAAGUAUUCCAGAACAUACCGCGUAUGACACAUUUCUUCUCACUGCAAACUUUCACAACAUAACCCCUUGAAAUCAGAAGUCUAUAAUGGAAAUACUGAUGCUACCUUGACGCCACUAAAGUGAACUGUGCUGCUGUGAUAAGAGGAAAAUGUAUGUUUGCAUUUGGAAGACUCAUCAUCUUUCCAAAUCAUGAUUAGUAGGUGGCAGGACAAUAUAACACUGAAUCGUAUGCAAAGAUAGCCCAGAUGUGAAAUAUGAAUCUCUUGCCAGUUCAGGAGAUGAAGAUGACAGUUGUAAUCUCUUCAGAUUCAUAAUUUACUACGUUGUAGGCAGGUUAGCAGUGAUUGAUCACCCCUGGGCAGGGUGUUAGCAGUUUUAAAAUCACUUUAUUGCAUUACGCAAAUACGAAGUUUAAAAGUUUUAGGCUGUCCUUAUCUCUACCUUAAGCAACUCCUGGUUACAAGCUUACCUCUAGAACCUAAGUGUAUGAAGGACAUGGUUAUUUCAGCAUAAAACUCUACUGUAGCUUAUCAUUUUGUACAUUACAUAUUACACAGUGGAUUGUUUAUAACAUGAAAAGUAUUCAGUUAUUGUGAAGACAUAAAACACUUGCUACAGAAAGCAGUAUGAGAGAGAACUAUAGGUUUUACUAACAAACGAUGAAAUGAAAUUUGUCACUGCCUCUGUAGUCAACAAAGAACAUUUUAAGAUGAAAUUAUUCAGGGUUUAGUAGCAGAUGCAGAAAGGCCGAACUUGUUCCUAUU